rfam:Triticum aestivum genome assembly, contig: Triticum_aestivum_CS42_TGACv1_scaffold_569939_7AS
GAUAUACUCCCUCCAUUCCAAAUUACUCGUCAAAGAAAUAAGUGUAUCUAGAACUAAAAUACAUCUAGAUAUAUCUAUAUCUGCGACAAGUAAUUUGGAACGGAGGGAGUACUAU